UCUCUCUCUCAAAAAUAAAUAAAAACAAUUAAAAAAAAAAAAAAGAGUCGGGUGAUUGACUGAGCCACGCAGGUGUCCCAAAAGAUUUUUAAUAGCAUACAUCACUUCUCCUUUAUGGUACCCCCUAGAUAAAAAAGGGGUAGGGAUGCUAACACUGUUUGAACCAUCAUAUUAC